UGCUUUCCUUACCUACUGUGCCAAACGGAUGCUUCGAAGCAAUCUUGUUGAACACUUCUUUCCAAUUCGGUCUUGCAAAGUGUGUCCUUACCUGCAACAAAAUAGAGCCAAAUGAUGAAUAAGGGAACAUACUCGAGUGCCUGACACGAUGUCAACACCAUGUUUCGCAUGGUUGAGGGCUUGGACCAUGGUGAUCAAAGUUGACCUUGCAUCACCUUCUUCGUAAACGCUUGUAAGGUAGUUGUGCAGUUCGAUUUGACCCUAUUUCGUUAUAUAAGAAAGGGAAGGUUAAUACCUCUCACUUUGUAAUGAUAGCCGUGGUAAUUUAUUUGAGACAUGGAGAAUGAACAUGGGUUGGAAGUUUUUGUCUUA